rnacentral:misc_RNA from 1 species
GAUGAAGAACGUAGCGAAAUGCGAUACUUGGUGUGAAUUGCAGAAUCCCGUGAACCAUCGAAUCUUUGAACGCAAGUUGCGCCCGAAGCCAUUAGGCCGAGGGCACGCCUGCCUGGGCGUCACACGUCGUUGCCCCCCCAUCUACUCCUUCGGGAUUGCGGGGGGCGGAUGAUGGCCUCCCGUGCGCCUCGUCGCGCGGUUGGCAUAAAUACCAAGUCCUCGGCGACGCACGCCACGACAAUCGGUGGUUGCGAAACCUCGGUUGCCCGUCGUGUGCGGUCGUCGCGCAUCGAGGGCUCGAAAAAAUUGCCGGGCUCCGGCUCGGCUUUCAACGCGACCCCAGGUCAGGCGGGGUUACCCGCUGAAUUUAAGCAUAUCAAUAAGCGGAGGA